AGAGUUUGAUCCUGGCUCAGAAUCAACGCUGGCGGCGUGCCUAACACAUGCAAGUCGCACGAGAAAGUGGAGCAAUCCAUGAGUACAGUGGCGCACGGGUGAGUAACACGUGACUAAUCUACCUCCGAGUGGGGAAUAACCUGGGGAAACCUGGGCUAAUACCGCAUAACACUUACGAGUCAAAGCAGCAAUGCGCUUGGAGAGGAGGUCGCGGUCGAUUAGUUAGUUGGCGGGGUAAUGGCCCACCAAGACGAUGAUCGAUAUCCGGCCUGAGAGGGCGCACGGACACACUGGAACUGAAACACGGUCCAGACUCCUACGGGAGGCAGCAGUGGGGAAUUUUGCGCAAUGGGGGAAACCCUGACGCAGCAACGCCGCGUGGAGGAUGAAGCCCCUUGGGGCGUAAACUCCUUUCGAUAGGGAAGAUAAUGACGGUACCUAUAGAAGAAGCCCCGGCUAACUUCGUGCCAGCAGCCGCGGUAAUACGAGGGGGGCAAGCGUUGUUCGGAAUUAUUGGGCGUAAAGGGUGCGUAGGCGGUUUGGUAAGUCUUGUGUGAAAUCUUCAGGCUCAACUUGAAGUCUGCACGAGAAACUACCGGACUAGAGUGUGGGAGAGGUGAGUGGAAUUUCCGGUGUAGCGGUGAAAUGCGUAGAUAUCGGAAGGAACACCUGUGGCGAAAGCGGCUCACUGGACCACAACUGACGCUGAGGCACGAAAGCUAGGGGAGCAAACAGGAUUAGAUACCCUGGUAGUCCUAGCCCUUAAACGAUGAUCGCUUGUGUGUCGGGUACCCAUUCUCGUCGUGCCGAGCUAACG
rnacentral:rRNA from 1 species